GAUGAAGAACGUAGCGAAAUGCGAUAAGUAGUGUGAAUUGCAGAAUUCAGUGAAUCAUCGAAUCUUUGAACGCACAUUGCGCCUCCUGGUAUUCCGGGAGGCAUGCCUGUUCGAGCGUCAUCAAAAACCUCAACCCAUGAUUUAUUGUGAGUUGGUUCUGCAUUGGACUCCUUGUGGGUCCUUUGCGAAAUCCAAUGGCGAAGAGCCACGCAACCAAAGCGUAGUAUAACUAUUUCGUUAUGGAGGCGUGGGUGCCUCUGCCGUAACCCCCAAUUUCUUAGUUUUUGACCUCGGAUCAGGUAGGGAUACCCGCUGAACUUAAGCAUAUCAAUAAGCGGAGGA
rnacentral:misc_RNA from 1 species